rnacentral:lncRNA from 1 species
CUGCUGUGACCGCAAAACUGUUUCUGUAGAAUUUUCUCCGGUGUGGUCAUCCUGCCUUCAGAGGUUUCUCCAGGACGUCACCUGUAUGAGGUACACAGUGUGAUGACACACUCUGUGCUUUUCCUACUUGUGUCCACGUGAGUGUCUGGAGCUGCCCUUCAAGGAGAGCAAUAGAUGAAUGAUUCUGCCUUCCCGCUGAGAGGGAUGUGGGUCCUGCGGAUGGUCGGGGUGAAGCUUCCUCUCCUUUCUGCUGACAGCACUUCCUCAUUAAAUGCAGAGAUCUGCAAAAAGGGAAAAUAAAAACACAAGAAGAAAAAUGAGGCAUCAAAGACCCUCCUCUUAUGCCCAUGGGGAUUUGGAGGACGGGUUAUUUCUUUGCUUUCCCAAAGGGCCCAAGAAGAGCUUCCGGGGAGAGGGAGAGCACCCUUUUUGAGGAUUCCCGACAAGCCUGUCUCCCGAGGGCUCCUGUAGGAGAGGCGGUAACUAGGGCGCAGAUCAUUUUCUGUGUUAAGGGCAUCCAAGGAGAGAAGAGAGUGACCGCCUAUGACUUGGGAGGCCCGUAAAGAUGGGGUCCUGGAUGAGCAGUAGCAAGGAGGGUACGGGGAUGGGUGUGCCUUGGGGGCUGGCAGUGAGGACGGCAUCGUCCCUAGAGAGUUUAAAGACAAGAAUCAAUCCAGCUCCAAGUGAGACUGCUUUUAAACCAUUUUAAUUGCCACACACCAGUAAGUUCAAGCAAUAUCAGUGAUAAAAUCUCCUUCCGUUGGGCAGCCAGUCCUUCUGCACCCUCCUGGUGUGUCCUGAGUAAGUGGGGUAGGGAGGAGCUAGUGUGGCCCGAAGACAAAGGAACCCGAGAUAUUUCUUUCCUCUUCCAAGCAAGAGAGGCUGGAGACAGCACAUGAGUGUUCAGGGAUCCUUGGGGGUCAAAAGAGUCACCUGAGAGAAAGGAAGAGAGGGGAACUGCCGCAGCUCAGUGAGGGGAACACCGCAGGCUCUGCCUCUCUUCCCCGGCUGUCUGGGAGGAGGGUCUGGAGUGGAGUCCAUGAGGGGCUGGGCGGGGCUGGGGCCCUACUUUGGAGGGAAUAUGGUAAGCAGACUGUACAGCCAAGCAGACAGUCCUGGAGGUUGAGGGCGUGACAAAGAACUGUAGCAUAUUCUGUGUGUAAAGACACCUUUGCCUUCUGUCCUGACCCGCAGACAGGUGCUUCUCCUGCCCUGCCGUGCUUCUGCCAUUUCUGGUGGAAAUAGCUCAAAAGACCCCUGCUUAUCCACAGAGCAGGGGCAUUUACCCAUUACAACCCCCUGGUGAAGUGACACGGUUAUGCCCAUUUCACAGACGAGGAAAUUGAGGCCCAGAAAGGGGCAGGAAACUUCCACAGCUGGGAAGCGGUGGAUCUGGGACUUGUUUGCCCCAGAGGCUGCCACCCUGGCACCUCACUGCCCUCAAAGGCUGACGGUGCCCCCAGCAGCUGUAACCAUUUCUUUCGAGUGCUUUUCAUUGUGUGGAAGAUCAUUUUGGGGGGUGCACAGAGCUCCCAGCUUAUUGUGAUUCAGCAAGACCCUGGCGUGUCACUUACGGGAGGUGGCCUUGCUGGGCAUAGUGCCGGCCAGCCAGAGACCCUCAGUGAACAGGGGGCGUUUCCAGAGGGCCUGGUGUUUUCUGCAUGGCAAGACUCCUACAGAGAGGCUGACCUGGUUUUCAGAGAGCAGUUUGCGUUUCGGGUGGCCCUGGGGGCACAUGUUCCCAUUGGAUUCCUGCACUGGAAGUAAGCUUGUGGGGCCGGGCUGCCAGCAGUGCCUGCCUUGUACCAGGGCUUUUUUGGUAUGGAAAACUUUAGAGAGGCGUCACCACCACCUCUUUUUUGCUCAGCAUUUGCUCAUCUCUCCCCACCUGCUUUUCAGGGCUCAAGCCUGGAAGAAGCCUUAGGACGUGGGGGAAAUGUCUAACGUGGAGUCCACCUGCUGAGCAGGACCGGGUGUGAAGGAAGAAGCUUUGUUCUGAUUCCUCAUGGCCCAGCCACCCCUCGCCUGAGCUGAGCCUGGCCACAGGGCCCGCCUGCAGGAAGGGCUGGCCCAUGGCUUCACACUGGGCUCAGGCUGCGCUAAGAGCCCCGGGUGAGGACCUCCAAGCCCAGGAAGCCUCAGUUGGCCAAAGUGCUAGAUGCGUGUGGUCUGCUUUCAUCCCCGCUUCCCUCAGAGCUUGCAUUUUCCAAAUUCAAGAGAGGCUCCACCUUCAAGAAGACCGGCCUGUCCCUGUUAUUUAUGUGUCCCCCUACCAUAUCUCCCUUUGUUCUGCAGAGCGGUACGCAUAAAAAGCUUUUGGGGA